rnacentral:lncRNA from 1 species
AGUGCUCAGCAGGGCGAGGACAGGACAGAACGGGCCCCAUCACAGACUGCGCUUAGAAGGAACUCAGUAAAACAAAGACCAUUUUCUUCUGGAGGCAACUCAAGGAGGUAAGACUGUGAGUCAAGCGCCUUGGAGGAUAAGAAGUCCAGGUAAGUAGAAGGCAGGAGGAAGCUUCCCUAAUAUCACCUGCAAAUCUGCUUCCACUGGGGCAUUCUGUUCCCCUUUUCAGACAGCGCAGAGCCCUCCUGCGGUGAACAGUCGCCAUAGCCCUUCUUGAGGGGCUGCUGGGUCCAAGACCUCCUGGGUGGGCACACGGACCUGCGCUCCCUGCAGAGACGUGGACAAGGCAGGCCCUGUGGAAAGUUCACCCGCCAGCCAGGCACCGGCACAAAGCCAAACCCCCCGGCGGAGUGUGUGGGGGCAGGGACAAAACGCUCCACGCGUUCUCACAGGGACUCGCCCUUAGAACAAGACAGCUGUAUCUCUGUACAAAUGCGGGCGGUGACGAGUGGGGAUGACGGGACUUUCUGGGGUGACGGCCACUCCCUAUACCUUGAUGGGGCUCGUGCAAGUUCUUUAUGGAGGGAAAGACGCAGUGUGCGGUGAGUUCCAGCUAAUGAUGUGGGAAGCAUUGACACCAGCCCCACCCUGAUGUGCGCUGAAGCACCGACGCAGGGACGGGGGACACGGGCGAGGAGACCCACUACGUAACAACGCAGCAAACCCCGUGAACAGAACCUACGGCAUCCAGGCGGUCCCCGUGCGGGUUUUACUAUACAAUUCUUAGGAGAAAAACAAAGGUUAAAAGGUUUGAAAUGUAAAAAAGAUUGACUACAUAGAAAAUUUAAAAACAAAACAUAAGUAAGAGAAUCUACAGAAAUAGGCUUAGCCGCUGAGAGGUGUUAGCAAGGUCUGGGCGGAACAUUAAAAAUCCUGUGAGUGGGCCUGGAAACCAGCGUUCCCCCACAGCUGAGGAGUAAGGGGAGAGAAGCAGCUGUUUAUCCCAGAUGAGGUCCAGAGAGACGCAUUCCAAGCAGCCAACACGGGACAGAGGCGAUGAGGGAGGGCGGCCUGGACAGAAAACUUCCAGGCAGAUCGGGGCACCCUGUCUCGCAGGCCCAGCCAUGCUCCUUGGCAGCAACCACCCAGGGGCUUUCUCACAGGCAGACCAGGGCAGCCUCUGGUCCCUGCACAAUCUCGCCUCCGAUGCAAGGUGGGAGAAGGCAGCCACCUCCCGAGGGGGGCCACAGAGGGGGUUCUGAUCCAGCUGUGAGCUCUCACCCCCAGCCCACAGCGACUGGUAGCCAGGUAGGCAGAAUGGCAGGCAGAGCGGCCACUGGGGAACUGAUCCAGCAGGACCUGAAGCAGGGAGACAGCACACGGGCGUCCACCUAACGUGGCCAGCCCUUGUGUGGACAAACAGCUGAGAAAAGGCAUUACUAACAUGGACGUGAAGAAAGUCGCCUCGGUUUUUGGGUGUGAUGUGGUGUUGGUGUCGUGUUGUUGCGAAGGCCCUGUCUGAAAGUCGCCUCGGUUUUCUGGUGUGAUGUGGUGUUGGUGCGUGUUGUUGCGAAGGCCCUGUGUGAAAGUCGCCUGGGUUUUCGGGUGUGAUGUGGUAUUGGUGUCGUGUUGUUGCGAAGGCCCUGUGUGAAAGUCGCCUGGGUUUUCGGGUGUGAUGUGGUGUUGGCGUCGUGUUGUUGCGAAGGCCCUGUGUGAAAGUCGCCUGGGUUUUCGGGUGUGAUGUGGUGUUGGCGUCGUGUUGUUGCGAAGGCCCUGUGUGAAAGUCGCCUCGGUUUUCGGGUGUGAUGUGGUGUUGGUGUCGUGUUGUUGCGAAGGCCCUGUGUGAAAGUCGCCGGGGUUUUCGGGUGUGAUGUGGUGUUGGUGUCGUGUUGUUGCGAAGGCCCUGUGUGAAGGUCGCCUGGGUUUUCGGGUGUGAUGUGGUGUUGGUGUCGUGUUGUUGCGAAGGCCCUGUGUGAAGGUCGCCUGGGUUUUCGGGUGUGAUGUGGUGUUGGUGUCGUGUUGUUGCGAAGGCCCUGUGUGAAAGUCGCCUGGGUUUUCGGGUGUGAUGUGGUGUUGGCGUCGUGUUGUUGCAAAGGCCUGUCUUCAGGUGUACGAGGAGGCAUUUCCAAAUGCAGGAAUGUGAUGCCUGGGAUCUGCGUCAUGGCAAAACAGCAGGGGCAAGGAGUGUGGGGCGGAUGUGGCAGCUGCUAACACUGGCACGGUGCACUGUGGCCUACGAGGGUCCCCAGCUGUCCACAGUUCAUUCCUCCCCAUUGCGUGGCUUCCUGAACAGCCAUGUAUUUCCUAACUCUGCCGGCUGAGGGGCUGAGAAGCUGCAGCACCCCAGUAGUAACGGGCACCCCAGCACCCACGUCUUGGUCUCUAAACACCUUCCCCACUAAAGCAUCAGGCUUCUCAGGGAAGCCAAUAGUCCCGGCUACUCAGGAGGCUGAGGUGGCAGCACAGCUUGAGCCCAGUAGGUUGAGACUAGCCUGAGCAACAGAGCAAGAUCCCAGCUCUAAAAAAGAGAAAUCCUCCCUAAGAGCACUGCUUUAGAAGGACGUGGAGGAGGGGCUGUGGACUCUGAGCCUUACCCUCAAUACAAUGAGGUCACCUGCUCCUGGGAACCAUCUUAGGAUCCCUGGAAUGGGCAGAGGGACAAACUCAUCAGUGGCCCCCAAUCUGGCAGAGUUAACCUGCCCCACAAUCUCCAAAUCCAGAGGCCUACAAAGCAUCUGCUCCAAGCAGUAACAAUGAGGUCCUGAGCGGAAAUCUUCACAAAGUGGAGAGAAAAAACUGAUGGAUUGUCCAAUGUGUUUGAUUCUGUAAAAACAACAGUAUUGGAAAGGGUUGACCAGUUGUGCUGGUAAAGUUGGAACAAAUGAGUGAGAUAUGAUCAGAGAUGAAAAACGAAGCCAAUCAAAAUAGAAAAGGCAACUAUGAACUCCAGGAAAAAUGAAGAGUUAUUAGAAAAAAAGUUACUAUAGUUCACUAUUUGGCUCAGCAGUCACAAUAUUUACAGAGUCAAAAUAAUGUAAAGACAAUCAAACUAAUAAAAAUUAUACUUGUGACACAGCUAUACUGAUGAUGAUGAGAAGAACAUUAGGGUGUGUGAGGGCAAUCCCUGUCGUUCAUAAGAGGACAUGUAUACACAGUGUCUAACCGUGGUAUGCGAAGAAUAACCCAUAUAAACCUAUCAGUCAGAAAGACAGACAAAUACCAGAGUUAAGUGCAGGAAGUGAUAAAAGGGUUGUCUGGAGAACAGCAUGUGGCUGAGAAGUGGUACGGCAAGGGCUUCUGUUUUUAUUAUAAGUCGUGUAAUACAAUUUGACUAUUCAUGCACAUGCCCAUUUUUUUUUAAUAAUUAAAAGAACAAUCUUCAGGCCACACUGGCCACAGUGUAAUAAAAUCAAAGUUGAGAAACAAAAGGCCACCUGUAAAACCCUGAGCAUGUGGCAUUUUCGAAGCAUUUCUCCAGGCUGUCCUUGGUCUAGAGGCAUUAGCGCUGAAGGUUAUAAAACCACACCAUCGG